rnacentral:tRNA from 1 species
GCCCAAUUAGUAUAAUGGAUUAUUACUCCUGUUUUGUAAUCAGGGAAUCUCAGUUCAAUUCUGGGAUUGGGCUCCA